GCGGUUUAAUUGGAUUCGAACGCCGGAAAUCUUACCGGGACCGACAGCAAUAUGAAGGCCAGGCUGAAGACUUUGCCGGAUUAGCUGAGAGGUGGUGCAUGGCCGUCGUCAGUUCGUACUGUGAAGCAUCCUGUUAAGUCAGGCAACGAGCGAGACCCACGCCCACAGUUGCCAGCGUACUCUCUGGAGUGACGGGUACACUGUGGGACCGCCGCUGCUAAAGCGGUGGAAGGAAUGGGCAACGGUAGGUCAGUAUGCCCCGAAUAUCCCGGGCUACACGCGAGCUACAAUGGUUGGUACAAUGGGUAUCUACCCCGAAAGGGGACGGGAAUCUCCUAAAACCAAUCUUAGUUCGGAUUGAGGGCUGCAACUCGCCCUCAUGAAGCUGGAAUCCGUAGUAAUCGCGUUUCAACAGAACGCGGUGAAUACGUCCCUGCUCCUU
rnacentral:rRNA from 1 species